GUGUUAUAUGAAAGGAGAGGUUAGCAUUCUCCUUGACAAGGAUGGAAGAGGCCCUUGGGCCUGACAACACGCAUACAAUUAAGGCAUUGCCACCUACUUCGUGGCAUCUAACCAUUGUUUUUA
ensembl:snRNA